AAAAUAACUUCAGCUGACUCAGUUUGCUGCUGAUGUGAAUCAGCAAUUCACCGCAGUGAACACCAUAUUGCUGCCCAUAGAGGAGAGGAUGGCUGCUUUGGAAUCCCACUGCUGCCCAAGUGUGGAGGAGACUACGAGGGAAAGACGGGCGCACAAUCCCAAAAUUAAGGAAGUGGUGCGUCAUCUUCACAACUUGGAAGCAAAUUGCAGGCGCUACGAACCGGAGCAAGGACUGAGCUCGCCUCACAACGAGACUGGAAGAUAAACGGAAGUACACGGCUACACAUCACAGACGUCGGCACACUGGACCACAUUCGGACGGAAUGCCGACAAAUACAUACGACUCUGAGGCGGCAAAAAGACAUUUCAUAUUAUACCUAUAUCAAAAAGAUAUUUUUGAUAUAGUUUU